AUUGAACGCUGGCGGCAUGCUUUACACAUGCAAGUCGAACGGCAGCGCGGGCUUCGGCCUGGCGGCGAGUGGCGAACGGGUGAGUAAUGCAUCGGAACGUGCCCAGUAGUGGGGGAUAGCCCGGCGAAAGCCGGAUUAAUACCGCAUACGACCUGAGGGUGAAAGCGGGGGACCGAAAGGCCUCGCGCUAUUGGAGCGGCCGAUGUCGGAUUAGCUAGUUGGUGGGGUAAAGGCUUACCAAGGCGACGAUCCGUAGCUGGUCUGAGAGGACGACCAGCCACACUGGGACUGAGACACGGCCCAGACUCCUACGGGAGGCAGCAGUGGGGAAUUUUGGACAAUGGGGGCAACCCUGAUCCAGCCAUGCCGCGUGCGGGAAGUAGGCCUUCGGGUUGUAAACCGCUUUUGUUCGGGAAGAAAUCCUCUGGGCUAAUACCCCGGGGGGAUGACGGUACCGGAAGAAUAAGCACCGGCUAACUAUGUG
rnacentral:rRNA from 1 species